GUGAGCUCCGCCCCCCGCCCCUCCGGGCGGCCCUUCCCGAUCUUCCCCCCCCGUUCCUCGCCCCUUCGCUCUCUCCAGGCUGCCCGCGCCCUGCUUGAAGGCGCGUUUCGCUCCGUACGGAUGUAAAUCCGUUGUUGCUCCUGAUCCCCAUCCGUGCCGCAGACCCGUACGGUUUCUUUUUUCUGCCACGUGUGAAACCGGCUCACGUGAAGGCAGGGCGGCUCUGCUCCCCGACGGCCGGCUUGCGGUCUUGGUCCCGCAGUCGGGCAGGACUUCCCCCGUCUAUACAUAAUGCAUGACCUGGGCUCUUUGCAAUGAAGCCCCGCUAAUUGGCUAAUUAAAAAGUGAAACGCGCUGAAGGAGCCACCGCGGCAUCCACAGGAGCCCCUCACUGCGGCAUCCUGGCUGUGUGUGCCAGUGCCUUCAGCUCAGUGGAGCCGGGGGCACGCAGCCCUGGGGCAGCCCCAGGGAGGCUGGUGCUGGAAGCUGCCUUCCUGCCUUUUGAAUCUGUUUUUCUUGCACCUGAAGCUUUUGUGACCCAGGAUGACGUAGUGGAACCCCAGGAGUUUCCUGGUGUAACGUUCUCCAUUUUCUCUCCCAGCCACAAAGGGACGCGGGCUGUAACGCUGUGUUCUGCCCUCAGAUCGUGGACACCUUCCUGGUGGGCCGCCUGGUGCUGCUGGCCGUCAUGGCCCUGCUGCUGCUGGGCUGCGUGCUGCUGCUGGGGAUGCACCUCCUGGAGCCGACACACGCCAAGGCGCUGCGCUGCUGGAGGUGAGGCUGUGCCACGGAGCCGCUUCUGCAGGGAUUCCGGCGGCUGUGGGACUGAGCGGCCUCGUGGAGCCCCUUCUCCUGUCGGCGGAAAUGAGACGAGCGGGAGAUGGAGCGCUGGCUGUUGGUUGGCUCGGUGAUCCGAGGGGCCUCUUCCAGCCGAUCCUGUUAUCCCUCUGAGCCCACCUGUCUCAGGCUCAGCCUGAGGCCUCUCAUGGAGGGAAAGUCCUCGAGAAGUGGAUCCCGUUUUCGUGGCAGUAAACCGGAUGCCCGAGUUGGGGUGUUGAUUGUUGGAUUUUUUAAAUUCUUUUUUAACAUUAAUAAAACUUUUGGAGGAAGCCCUGGCCCAGUCUUUAUCUGUUUUCCAGGAAUAGGAGUUUUGCACAUUUUGGUGUUACUGAAAGCUGCCCUUUCUGUGCUUUUUGGGAGGCUCCCCCUUUUCAGGUGGGGGCCUUGGGAUGCUCCCUGUG
rnacentral:lncRNA from 1 species